UUAAGCGACUAAGCGUACACGGUGGAUGCCCUGGCAGUCAGAGGCGAUGAAGGACGUGCUAAUCUGCGAUAAGCGUCGGUAAGGUGAUAUGAACCGUUAUAACCGGCGAUUUCCGAAUGGGGAAACCCAGUGUGUUUCGACACACUAUCAUUAACUGAAUCCAUAGGUUAAUGAGGCGAACCGGGGGAACUGAAACAUCUAAGUACCCCGAGGAAAAGAAAUCAACCGAGAUUCCCCCAGUAGCGGCGAGCGAACGGGGAGCAGCCCAGAGCCUGAAUCAGUGUGUGUGUUAGUGGAAGCGUCUGGAAAGGCGCGCGAUACAGGGUGACAGCCCCGUACACAAAAAUGCACAUGCUGUGAGCUCGAUGAGUAGGGCGGGACACGUGGUAUCCUGUCUGAAUAUGGGGGGACCAUCCUCCAAGGCUAAAUACUCCUGACUGACCGAUAGUGAACCAGUACCGUGAGGGAAAGGCGAAAAGAACCCCGGCGAGGGGAGUGAAAAAGAACCUGAAACCGUGUACGUACAAGCAGUGGGAGCACGCUUAGGCGUGUGACUGCGUACCUUUUGUAUAAUGGGUCAGCGACUUAUAUUCUGUAGCAAGGUUAACCGAAUAGGGGAGCCGAAGGGAAACCGAGUCUUAACUGGGCGUUAAGUUGCAGGGUAUAGACCCGAAACCCGGUGAUCUAGCCAUGGGCAGGUUGAAGGUUGGGUAACACUAACUGGAGGACCGAACCGACUAAUGUUGAAAAAUUAGCGGAUGACUUGUGGCUGGGGGUGAAAGGCCAAUCAAACCGGGAGAUAGCUGGUUCUCCCCGAAAGCUAUUUAGGUAGCGCCUCGUGAAUUCAUCUCCGGGGGUAGAGCACUGUUUCGGCAAGGGGGUCAUCCCGACUUACCAACCCGAUGCAAACUGCGAAUACCGGAGAAUGUUAUCACGGGAGACACACGGCGGGUGCUAACGUCCGUCGUGAAGAGGGAAACAACCCAGACCGCCAGCUAAGGUCCCAAAGUCAUGGUUAAGUGGGAAACGAUGUGGGAAGGCCCAGACAGCCAGGAUGUUGGCUUAGAAGCAGCCAUCAUUUAAAGAAAGCGUAAUAGCUCACUGGUCGAGUCGGCCUGCGCGGAAGAUGUAACGGGGCUAAACCAUGCACCGAAGCUGCGGCAGCGACGCUGAUGCGUUGUUGGGUAGGGGAGCGUUCUGUAAGCCUGCGAAGGUGUGCUGUGAGGCAUGCUGGAGGUAUCAGAAGUGCGAAUGCUGACAUAAGUAACGAUAAAGCGGGUGAAAAGCCCGCUCGCCGGAAGACCAAGGGUUCCUGUCCAACGUUAAUCGGGGCAGGGUGAGUCGACCCCUAAGGCGAGGCCGAAAGGCGUAGUCGAUGGGAAACAGGUUAAUAUUCCUGUACUUGGUGUUACUGCGAAGGGGGGACGGAGAAGGCUAUGUUGGCCGGGCGACGGUUGUCCCGGUUUAAGCGUGUAGGCUGGUUUUCCAGGCAAAUCCGGAAAAUCAAGGCUGAGGCGUGAUGACGAGGCACCACGGUGCUGAAGCAACAAAUGCCCUGCUUCCAGGAAAAGCCUCUAAGCAUCAGGUAACAUCAAAUCGUACCCCAAACCGACACAGGUGGUCAGGUAGAGAAUACCAAGGCGCUUGAGAGAACUCGGGUGAAGGAACUAGGCAAAAUGGUGCCGUAACUUCGGGAGAAGGCACGCUGAUAUGUAGGUGAAGUCCCUUGCGGAUGGAGCUGAAAUCAGUCGAAGAUACCAGCUGGCUGCAACUGUUUAUUAAAAACACAGCACUGUGCAAACACGAAAGUGGACGUAUACGGUGUGACGCCUGCCCGGUGCCGGAAGGUUAAUUGAUGGGGUCAGCGCAAGCGAAGCUCUUGAUCGAAGCCCCGGUAAACGGCGGCCGUAACUAUAACGGUCCUAAGGUAGCGAAAUUCCUUGUCGGGUAAGUUCCGACCUGCACGAAUGGCGUAAUGAUGGCCAGGCUGUCUCCACCCGAGACUCAGUGAAAUUGAACUCGCUGUGAAGAUGCAGUGUACCCGCGGCAAGACGGAAAGACCCCGUGAACCUUUACUAUAGCUUGACACUGAACAUUGAGCCUUGAUGUGUAGGAUAGGUGGGAGGCUUAGAAGUGUGGACGCCAGUCUGCAUGGAGCCGACCUUGAAAUACCACCCUUUAAUGUUUGAUGUUCUAACGUUGACCCGUAAUCCGGGUUGCGGACAGUGUCUGGUGGGUAGUUUGACUGGGGCGGUCUCCUCCUAAAGAGUAACGGAGGAGCACGAAGGUUGGCUAAUCCUGGUCGGACAUCAGGAGGUUAGUGCAAUGGCAUAAGCCAGCUUGACUGCGAGCGUGACGGCGCGAGCAGGUGCGAAAGCAGGUCAUAGUGAUCCGGUGGUUCUGAAUGGAAGGGCCAUCGCUCAACGGAUAAAAGGUACUCCGGGGAUAACAGGCUGAUACCGCCCAAGAGUUCAUAUCGACGGCGGUGUUUGGCACCUCGAUGUCGGCUCAUCACAUCCUGGGGCUGAAGUAGGUCCCAAGGGUAUGGCUGUUCGCCAUUUAAAGUGGUACGCGAGCUGGGUUUAGAACGUCGUGAGACAGUUCGGUCCCUAUCUGCCGUGGGCGCUGGAGAACUGAGGGGGGCUGCUCCUAGUACGAGAGGACCGGAGUGGACGCAUCACUGGUGUUCGGGUUGUCAUGCCAAUGGCACUGCCCGGUAGCUAAAUGCGGAAGAGAUAAGUGCUGAAAGCAUCUAAGCACGAAACUUGCCCCGAGAUGAGUUCUCCCUGACUCCUUGAGAGUCCUGAAGGAACGUUGAAGACGACGACGUUGAUAGGCCGGGUGUGUAAGCGCAGCGAUGCGUUGAGCUAACCGGUACUAAUGAACCGUGAGGCUUAACCUU
rnacentral:rRNA from 1 species